rnacentral:lncRNA from 1 species
ACCUGUUUUGGUUUACCCCUACUGUAACUCCUGAAAUGUGAAACCUAGAUAAAAGUUACUGCUGGGUUUUCUUGUUCAAAGAAGAGAAGAGAUUCUGUUCAUCUGUAGACAGUUAAUGCAUCCUCUUGACUUCUCAGGGUGUCUUUUCUCAAGGCUUGCUGUUACUCAUUUCAACACCCGAUUUUAUUUUAACGGUAAAGAGCUCAACAGUUAUCUUAGUUGAAAUUUUGUUUUGUUUUUGACAAAUGAAAACAAAUGAAUUGCUUUGUUUUUUCACAAAUGAAUUAUCACAUCAAAUGCAAUGAAGAUCCCAAGCUCUGGCAUCAGACUUGAUUCAAAUCCUGGUUCUAGGGCCUGGGUCAAGUAACUAGACUUUUCUGUUCCUUCAAUUCCUCAUCUAUGAAAUGAAGAUAAUCAAGACCUACCUCUUAAUAUAGCGGUGGAUCGAAUGUGCUAUGAUGAUGGAGGAUUUCUCACUGUGAGAGAAGUGAGCCACCAGAUAGAGAGGACACUCAAACAGCCCCAUGCAGAGGCCAAUAUAGAAAGGAUAAAAUAGCCAGCAUCAACUUACCGGCUUUGUAAG